rnacentral:rRNA from 1 species
CCUACGGGGGGCUGCAGUGGGGAAUAUUGCACAAUGGGGGAAACCCUGAUGCAGCGACGCCGCGUGAGUGAAGAAGGUCUUCGGAUCGUAAAACUCUGUCCUUGGUGACGAAAAAAAUGACGGUAGCCAAGGAGGAAGCCCCGGCUAACUACGUGCCAGCAGCCGCGGUAAUACGUAGGGGGCGAGCGUUGUCCGGAUUUACUGGGCGUAAAGGGUGAGUAGGCGGUUAUAUGUGUCAGAUGUAAAAGGCUAUGGCUUAACCAUAGUUGGCAUUUGAAACUGUAUGACUUGAGUGCAGGAGAGGUAAGUGGAAUUCCUAGUGUAGCGGUGAAAUGCGUAGAUAUUAGGAGGAACACCAGUGGCGAAGGCGACUUACUGGACUGUAACUGACGCUGAGUCACGAAAGCGUGGGUAGCAAACAGGAUUAGAUACCCCGGUAGUC